GGACCAUGACUGUCUUUACAAAGAGAAACACAAGACAUGGGCCUAUUUGCGUGGCUUGCCAAGCGGUGCCAUGUCCGCACCCCGGAUCUGAACCAGUGAACCCCAGGGCGCCGAAGUGGAACAUGGACACUUAACUGCUGUGCCACCGGGCAAGCCCCAAGAAAGUCACUUCUGAAAGUAUAUUUCCCCUCAAAGUGCUGAUCUAGGACAUAGCAGCAGUAGAAUCCACUUUGGGAAACUGUGCGAUCACUAACCUGAACGUGGAUGUGGAAGAUAUUACAAUUGUAAGAAUGGUCUAGUAGAAUAAUGAGUUUCAUGGACAAGAAAUCCAGAUGUUUCCCAGACAAGAGAAAAGCAGGAAAAUGGGAGUGACUAAACCCUUGAAGAUGCAGCCUCGCGGAUGUGGGCCUUGGUCUUCCCACUGCCUGUCCUCACAGCCUUGGACACCUCAGAACUCUGUGAAUACGUGAUGCAGGCCAGGAUGCUAACUAACCCCAGUUUGGUUUGGGUUCAUGUGGGAGUUCCAGAAGACCACUGAAAUUUGAUGACCAGGUCGAGAUAACUUUUUUUAAAACCACCUUAUUGAGAUUUUUGCUACGUCAGGAAACUACAGUUGUUGGCUGAUAGAAAAAUUACAGCAGCACUAUACAACGAGAGAGCUAUUUCUGCCCCUUGUCAGUGAAGUGUUACCGAUAUCUGAGAGUGAUCCAGCCGGAAGUCAGAGUUGUGAGUCCCAACUCAUGCAUGGAGUUUGUGAUACUUUCUUCAACAAAUGGUCAAGAGUAAUGCUCUAAGAAUAACAGCAAAAAUGCAAACUGGGGAAAAAUGCCCCCUGAGGUGCAGACAAUCUGCUGUCUUUGGAUAUAAUUAACUUUGGGAUAAGAAGAUUUUAGGAAAAUGCACAAUGAAGGACAGACACCAAGCACUCAGCAAACACUCUGGUUGAGUUUAAUUAGCAGUGAUUUUCAUGACACUAAAGUGAUUGUUUUUGAAACACAGCUGUCACUGCCUGUUGGCUGGGGUGAAGGAGGCAGCGCUAACUGCGUGAGAGAAGCAUUGUGGCCUCAAGGCAACACAGCAGAAACAGAGAAAGGCGCUUCAUCAACCUUGAAACUGCGCUAGAUAAAAUUUGGAGACGAAGGGGUAGGAAGGAGAGAAGGAAUCAGGGUUGUAAGUCUAGAUGGAGUACUUGGAGAGAAGGAGGGCGUCUCCUCUCCCUUUUCCACCCUCAGAAUCCCCAACCUUUUUAAAAAAAAGUGUGUGCUUUCUAUACACAACUUACAUUCAAGACUCCCUGGGGCUCUAUGUUUUUGAGGCUACAGUAAAGGAGUAAACCGAAUUUCUCUGACAGAUUUCAAUUUAAACCGCUAUAGUAACCACGGGAUGACUCAAUGGGCAGAUUAGAAAUUUUUUAGGAAUACUCCAAAUGGCAGAAUCUUGAGCAUAAUCCUUAUUUGAAUCACAGAGCUUUUUCUUUUAAAUUUCCUUUAUAAGAAAUUUAAGUUUCCUGAGUUGGAUUGUUGGGAAGAUGGGGACACUCUUUUGGAAAUUUUAUUAGUGGCGUAGAGGCACAGGUGCAUAGCAUAAUCAUUCUGUCCACACUCAAUUUCAUUGCCAAGAGGGGCCAGUUGGUGCUUCUAAGGAUUCCACUUGACUGACAGAUCACAGAAACUAUUGAGCACUGAGGCAUGAGGCGUGAUACAGCGAAUGUUCAUGUUUCCAAAAUUUGAAUAAAGUCCUAAAUUUCAGGGGAGGGGGCUGACUGAAUCAACAUUUCUAGGGAGGUGCACGCCACCCACAUAAAACUAUUGUCAAAGCUUUUGAGUUGACUUUCAUCCCCAGAUCUGGGCCAUGGCCUAUAACCAUUAUUCUAUCAAUAAGCUUUCCCCAUAUUUUGAAUAAGGAAGUAGAAAAAGCGAAUUAUGGCAACUGCACCCAUUAAAAGCUGCUUUUCAAGAAGAGGAAAUUAUGCUGCUAUCUACCAGAAUUAUCCCUGUGUGUUUGGUGCAAACAUAUGGGGCAUAACAUGUGG
rnacentral:lncRNA from 1 species